ensembl:lncRNA
GGAUGUCCGCCGUAUCCUCGAUAGCCUCCACGGCCAACAAUAACAACAGUACGGCCAUUGUUAACAUGUUAACAUGGACGCUGUGCGGAUGCUAGAUACGGGCAAUAUACAGAUGUUUGGGCUUGGUAAACCACGCGUUCCCCCUUGAACCAGACCGGCUGUAAAAAUCCCUCCUUAGAAUGGCAUCAGGGACACAAAACAAAAAAACUGUGUAUUCAUCCGUGGUUCUGACUGGAGCACCAUUAAAACCACUCAAGAAGAACUUUUCACAUCCUUCCGACCGGCUGAGGAGAAGCGGAAGGAAACCUCACGCUGGCAUUCGAAUCCCAGCGGUGGCGCAAUCGAUUCAUCUUAAAGACGACGGCAAAAAACAUUGAGUGAGAUAUCACCAAC